GGGGGGAGCAAGCGUUGUUCGGAAUCACUGGGCGUAAAGGGCGUGUAGGCGGUCGAGUAAGUGGGAUGUGAAAUGCCCCGGCUCACCCGGGGAGCGUCAUCUCAAACUGCUUGGCUAGAGUAUGGGAGAGGAUGAGGGAAUUCCUGGUGUAGCGGUGAAAUGCGUAGAUAUCAGGAGGAACACCGGUGGCGAAAGCGCUCAUCUGGCCCAAUACUGACGCUGAGGCGCGAAAGCUAGGGGAGCAAACGGGAUUAGAUACCCCGGUAGUCCUAGCCGUAAACGGUGAGCACUAGGUGUUGGAGGCAUCGACCCCUCCAGUGCCGCAGCUAACGCAUUAAGUGCUCCGCCUGGGGAGUACGGCCGCAAGGUUGAA
rnacentral:rRNA from 1 species